rnacentral:rRNA from 1 species
AGUGAACGCUGGCGGUAGGCCCAACACAUGCAAGUCGAACGGCAGCACAGUAAGAGCUUGCUCUUACGGGUGGCGAGUGGCGGACGGGUGAGGAACACAUCGGAAUCUACUUUUUCGUGGGGGAUAACGUAGGGAAACUUACGCUAAUACCGCAUACGACCUACGGGUGAAAGCAGGGGAUCUUCGGACCUUGCGCGAUUGAAUGAGCCGAUGUCGGAUUAGCUAGUUGGCGGGGUAAAGGCCCACCAAGGCGACGAUCCGUAGCUGGUCUGAGAGGAUGAUCAGCCACACUGGAACUGAGACACGGUCCAGACUCCUACGGGAGGCAGCAGUGGGGAAUAUUGGACAAUGGGCGCAAGCCUGAUCCAGCCAUACCGCGUGGGUGAAGAAGGCCUUCGGGUUGUAAAGCCCUUUUGUUGGGAAAGAAAAGCAGCAGGUUAAUACCCCGCUGUUCUGACGGUACCCAAAGAAUAAGCACCGGCUAACUUCGUG